AAUGCUGGGGAGAUGAAGAUAGUGUGUGGCUGCUUCUGGACUCAAGGAGGAGGAGAGAGAUUCCGCGAGCCGACACCAUGCGAUCCAAGGCGAGGGCGAGGAAGCUAGCCAAAAGUGACGGUGACAUUGUAAAUAAUAUGUAUGAGCCCAACCGGGACCUGCUGGCCAGCCACAGCGCGGAGGACGAGGCCGAGGACAGUGCCAUGUCGCCCAUCCCCGUGGGGCCACCGUCCCCCUUCCCCACCAGCGAGGACUUCACCCCCAAGGAGGGCUCGCCGUACGAGGCCCCUGUCUACAUUCCUGAAGACAUUCCGAUCCCAGCAGACUUCGAGCUCCGAGAGUCCUCCAUCCCAGGGGCUGGCCUGGGGGUCUGGGCCAAGAGGAAGAUGGAAGCCGGGGAGAGGCUGGGCCCCUGCGUGGUGGUGCCCCGGGCGGCGGCAAAGGAGACAGACUUCGGAUGGGAGGUGAGCGAUCGCGCCUGAGUAUGAUUGAUCACGGCCAUUUAUCUUGUGUUCAAUCUAUUUAUAAAGCCGGGCUGAGCAGCCACUGCCCGAGGCGGGAGGCGCGGCCAGAGAGAGCGU
rnacentral:sRNA from 1 species